rnacentral:rRNA from 1 species
CCCUUAGAUGUUCUGGGCCGCACGCGCGCUACAAUGAUGAAUUCAACGAGUUUAUAACCUUGGUUGAAAAGCCUGGGUAAUCUUUUGAACUUUCGUCGUGAUGGGGCUAGACCCUUGCAAUUAUUGGUCUCCAACGAGGAAUUCCUAGUAAACGCAAGUCAUCAGCUUGCAUUGAUUACGUCCCUGCCCUUUGUACACACCGCCCGUCGCACCUACCGAUGAAUCGUCCGGUGAAGUUCAUGGAGUGGUGGUUGUUCCAGCUGCUGUCGAAGUGAAAUGGACCUCACGAUUUAGAGGAAGGAGAAGUCGUAACA